rnacentral:rRNA from 1 species
AUUGAACGCUGGCGGCAGGCCUAACCCAUGCAAGUCGAACGAGUGGCGGACGGGUGAGUAAUAUCUGGGAAACUGCCUGAUGGAGGGGGAUAACUACUGGAAACGGUAGCUAAUACCGCAUACCAUCGGAUGUGCCCAGAUGGGAUUAGCUAGUAGGUGGGGUAAAGGCUCACCUAGGCGACGAGCCCUUACUGGUCUGAGAGGAUGACCCGCUAAACGGGAACUUAGACAUGGUCCAGACGCCUACGACAGGCAGCAGUGGGGACUAUUGCACAAUGGGCGCACGCCGGAUGACGCCAGGCCGCGUGUAUGAGGAAUGCCUUCGGGUGGUAAAGUACUUUCAGCGGGGAUGCGUUCCCCGCAGAAGAAGCACGGGCUCACUCCGUGCCAGUAGCCUCGGUAAUAC